ensembl:lncRNA
AGCUUUUUGAAAUAAAUAAAGAAAAAAACAGAAAUGGUGCCUUGAAGAACAAGAUAUUAAUUAAGUUUCUAUGGUUGUAGAACAAAUGAAGGUAAUGAUAGAGCCUUUAUUUGAGAAAUAGGCACACGAGGGAAAGAUAUCAAAAAGAAUUGACUCACCCCUCCCGGUAGCAGCGCGCAGAGAGAGCCGAGCUGAGGAACGUGUCCUUCCCCCGUUCGUACCGCCGCGCCGCCGCACUCACACACUCACAUAGCCCACCCAUUGGUUCAGGCUGUGACCCUGGAAUUCCACUACACUCCACUCCUUCACAGCAUGAACCAAUGACUGAGCAGGUAGGGGGUGAGCCCCUGCAACCUGGUGGCCCAAGACACAAUGCACAUCGCGACGCAUACACAACACCCGCCGCAAUAUAGGAUGUCAAGACAAUAAAGGCAAUCAGUGGCAGUCCCCUUCACGGUUCUAUUGGGCCAGUACUUGAUGUUCUUUCUCAAGGCGUAUCUUUUUCAAGGACCAGUAGCGCUUCUGAUUCAUGCUCUCCAGUUCCCAAAAGUUCAGCAGUGCGUCACAGUUUCCUCAUAAUGUUUCCUCAUAAGCGUGUUUGAGUGAUGUUGCUCCUGCUGGCCAUCCUGUGAACUUAAAACCUCAAGGGGAAUAAAACAGAUGCUUAAUAGGUAUGAGGAGGGGUAGGUCUGCCCUCCACGGUAAGAUGCAGGCUGUAUUUCGGUCUUUAUCAUAUCUGGGCUCUCAAAAUUCUCCUCAUAAAUUGCCUCCUUCAUACCUAAUUCUCGGAAUGUAAUUUUGUAAGUCCUCUAUAGAGGACCAUAGGCCGGUAUUUAAUGGUAUGUCCGUUUUAUUCGCCCGUGUCGCACGGCAUGCGGCCAUUAACCAUGUAAUCAGUGAAUGAUUUUCUUCAUUGUGUUGCACAGCUGCAUAUAGUCUUUGCCUGAGGGCCGGGUGAGUAGUAAUGGAUGCCAGUUUUGAGAUUUCUGGCCCAUUCACCACAACGCUUUCUGCCCCCAUGUCAUAUAGUCUGAGCAACCACGCUGGCACACUCUCUCUCGGUUUUUGUCUAAACCAUUGUACUAAAUCCAUUAAUUCAGCUGCCCUGUAUGGGUGAGCUGUUACAUGUAGUGUGCUCUGGGCAGGGGGCCACUGGUCAGGGCCCCGCUGGCCUGUCCUGCGUUUUUUUUUGUUUUUUGAGUUACAACUGGUUGGAUCUCAAAGGGAUCUAGCUCUAGUGGAGCCUCAAGAUCCGACUUCUUAGUGCUUUCAUUUUCUGAAUCCAGUUCAUGUGGAUUGUCUUGUAUAGGAUCUCCAGUAAUUUCUAGAGAGAUGUUUCGGAUUUUUUGUAUGGGAAUUAUAGGGUUAGGUUUUUUCCAUCUCAAAAUUGCAACCUGUCUUUCCAGUUCUUCCACACGGUCAUGUAAUAGUUGAUUUUCAUCAGUGCGAGCCUCUUCAGUUAUAUUUAGCCGGUUCAAGGCCAUCAGCAGCGGCCACGCCACCGUGGAGGCAGCUAACUGUCGUUCUCGUGUAGUGAGUACGUUUUUGAUUAGACUACUGAAAUACUCAGCCAGGCGGGCUGGGGAUUCCUGAACAUUUCCUCCAUCCCGUAGGGGACCCCAUUUUUUCAAUAAUACAAGCAAUCCUGUGAUAUGGGGAUCCUAGGAAUCCCGGGAUGUGCCCUGGUAAAACUUCACUUAUGGGGCUAACCUUUCUGCGUCCAAACCAUCCCAUGAAAUUGUUCAAAAAUGUCAUGGUAAUUAUUUUAAGAGGCUUAUAAUUGGGUAUCUUUAAAGAUAUUUGGCUGCCUGGCUCGCCAAAAUGAAGGCAAUGGCAGAGCCUUUAUUUGAGAAAUAGGCACAAUGGGAAAAGAUAUAAAAAAGGAAUUAACUCACCCCUCCCUGUAACAGUUUGGAGAAAGGGAAGAGCUGAGGAAUGUGACCCUCCCCCUUUCGUACCAUUGCGCCACUGGAGAGAAGGGCGGGGGCAAAGGGGGACCCACGCAGACUCAGAUUGCACAGGAAGUAUUACAGAGACAGAAGGGGUGGCUCCAGACCACCCCCCCAACUCCAGGCACCCAUACACUCACGUAGCCCACCCAUUGGUUCAGGCUGUGACCUUCGAAUUCCACUACAAACACCUGCAACACAUUAUCCUCAUAUUCAACCAUUCAACUGUAAAAUAUCCUUAAAU